ACUCCUACGGGUGGCUGCAGUGGGGAAUAUUGGACAAUGGGCGAAAGCCUGAUCCAGCCAUGCCGCGUGUGUGAAGAAGGCCUUUUGGUUGUAAAGCACUUUAAGUGGGGAGGAAAAGCUUAUGGUUAAUACCCAUAAGCCCUGACGUUACCCACAGAAUAAGCACCGGCUAACUCUGUGCCAGCAGCCGCGGUAAUACAGAGGGUGCAAGCGUUAAUCGGAAUUACUGGGCGUAAAGCGCGCGUAGGUGGUUAUUUAAGUCAGAUGUGAAAGCCCCGGGCUUAACCUGGGAACUGCAUCUGAUACUGGAUAACUAGAGUAGGUGAGAGGGGAGUAGAAUUCCAGGUGUAGCGGUGAAAUGCGUAGAGAUCUGGAGGAAUACCGAUGGCGAAGGCAGCUCCCUGGCAUCAUACUGACACUGAGGUGCGAAAGCGUGGGUAGCAAACAGGAUUAGAUACCCUGGUAGUCCACGCCGUAAACGAUGUCUACCAGUCGUUGGGUCUUUUAAAGACUUAGUGACGCAGUUAACGCAAUAAGUAGACCGCCUGGGGAGUACGGCCGCAAGGUUAAAACUCAAAUGAAUUGACGGGGGCCCGCACAAGCGGUGGAGCAUGUGGUUUAAUUCGAUGCAACGCGAAGAACCUUACCUGGUCUUGACAUAGUGAGAAUCUUGCAGAGAUGCGAGAGUGCCUUCGGGAAUUCACAUACAGGUGUUGCAUGGGUGUCGUCAGCUCG
rnacentral:rRNA from 1 species